rnacentral:rRNA from 1 species
GCGCGGGAGACGGGUCUUUUACUUUGAAAAAAUCAGAGUGUUUCAAGCAGGCAGUCGCUCUUGCAUGGAUUAGCAUGGGAUAAUGAAAUAGGACUCUGGUGCUAUUUUGUUGGUUUCGAACACCGGAGUAAUGAUUAACAGGGACAGUCAGGGGCACUCGUAUUCCGCCGAGAGAGGUGAAAUUCUCAGACCAGCGGAAGACGAACCACUGCGAAAGCAUUUGCCAGGGAUGUUUUCACUGAUCAAGAACGAAAGUUAGGGGAUCGAAGACGAUCAGAUACCGUCGUAGUCUUAACCAUAAACCAUGCCGACUAGGGAUUGGAGGAUGUUCCAUUUGUGACUCCUUCAGCACCUUUCGGGAAACUAAAGUCUUUGGGUUCCGGGGGGAGUAUGGUCGCAAGGCUGAAACUUAAAGGAAUUGACGGAAGGGCACCACCAGG